UUUAGUUGUGAAUUUUGGGGGUUAAAUGCAAGUACGCCUUAGCCGAAAACUUAUCGCCAUUUCCAAAGUUAACCGCAAAUAAGCCAAAAAAAAUUGUAGGGCCUAUAUUAGUAAACAAAAAAAUCACUUCGCGUAAGGCUACUAGUUGUGAUGGGACACUUUCCAAAAUAACUGGUUCACGCCCAAAUAUAUUUGAAAUCAUAGCGGUGUUGAUUGUGGGAAUCGGUUUGCGGAGGUUUACUGAUUUUCAGUGACUAGGCCUGCAGGGCGUGGCGCUUUCCAAAAUAACUGGUUCGCGUCGUUGCCCCAUGCCUAAAUCAUAGCGCCUAGGCACCAGGGAAUUGCCAAACGACAUUCUCGAUUUUUCACAUGCGUCAUUUACGCACUCAUAAAUUGGCGGGCAUGGAGAAUUUUCAAAACUCUCAGAACGGUAAAAACGGUUAUCAUGACAGCUAGAUUCCAAGCCAGCAAACCACAUCAAGCCAAACUUCAAACUGCUGAAGGAAUGCCAGAACUUGCCAUCAAAGUCAUUGCCACUCUUGGCUUGUCAUGUUUUAUACUGUGCCCGUCGAACAAUAACAUGCUCCAGAUCUGAGUACCUGGAAACUCUAGGGCCAACUUCCUAGGAGCCAGCAUUGAAAUAAUUUAGUUGAACUUAAACCUUAAUGUGAGUUAUUUAAUUUAAAAUGAAUAAUUAGCAAAAUGGAAUAAAUAUUCAGUAUGUUCAGUCAUGAAUAAAUAUAAAUGCCUUGAACUAAGUCUUCAAAUUGAUUUAAAAUAAUCCAGAGUAAACCUUACAACCAACCCAAAGUCAGUGCUAAUGCAAGUAAAGUUAAAAUUCAAAUACUAUUUUAUAGCAACUUACUUGACAAUAAAAGGCAAAAGUAUAUUAAGUUUAUAUCUCAAUAAGAUAGAUACCUUGAACUAAAUCUUCAACUUAAUUUAACAGAAAUGAGCAAACGUUUAACAGCACAGUGAAUGUUGACAAACCUAAGGUCAAACCUUAUUAAUGUAAAAUUAAACUUUACAUUUUAAGUCGCUUAGGAGGGUAAAUCCAGUUUUGAAUACAAAUACAAUGUAUAUAGCAUCCAAGUAUGCCAAAGUCAUUUUGUUUAUAAACUGCACGGAAGUGUAGACCCUUGCAGCAUUUUCUGAGGUCCUUCCCCUGCAUGCACCAUUAACAGUUAACCACAGCACUAUCCUUCCCUAUUUUAACCACUAACCAGCACAGACCCAUCAAAAUGCUGCAAAGGCAAGAAAAUAUUUACACAAAUUCAUUUGUGUGGUUUUUCAAAGCUGGAUUGCCACAAAAUAUUUUUCUUAGUGUUAUAUAAACAAUAAUUAUGGAAUAGCAAAAACAAUAAGUUAGCAUUACAUUUGACUUAACUGUGAACAUAAAAUGAAUUUUUUAAAGUUUUCAACUAAAAAAAAGUACUAUUUAAUCUCUCCACCUAUAAAUUCUGAUGAAAGGGAAAUUAUUUUGAAAUCUGCGUGGACAAGCAAAACUGAAAUUAAAUUAAACUUGGAUGGAAAUGAUAAAAUUAUAAAGUAAUCAGCUGACAGAGGACACCUAAAUAUAAAUGUUAUAUUUAAGCCACAAGAGAAAGCCUUUUAAAGAGGUGAAAACCUUUAAACAAUGAACAAUAAUCACAGCAUAUAUUUAAGUUAAAAUAUAGUCUUAACUAGUUUGAAUGAAGUUGGCCUGGACAAACUAGGGACAAUGGUCAGUAUGGAGCAGGAAAUUUAAAAGUAUUUGAGUGCCUUCAUAGAGAAACCCUGAACAUCGCCUCCAAGUCACCCCCGGACAGACGGUGACAACUGGAAAGACAAACUGUGAACUCAUGAAGAUGACAUUUUCAGGACAGGUGAACUUUAAAAGAUUUCAUCCAGAGGACUUUGUGAUGAACAGAUAUGUAAGCCACAGUGUGCGGAAGGAGGCAAAUAGUCAACCAACAAUGUGCAAGACAAACUAUGAAAUCAGGAGGAUGACAUUGUCAGGGCGCCGGGAACUAUACAAGAUUCCAUCCCGAGGACAGUGUGAGGAACAGAUAUGUAAGCCACAGUGUGCAAAAGGAGGCAAAUCAUCCAGUGAGGGAUUCACUACUGAAACAAAGGACAAGGAAUUUGUUAUAGAAAUGCCUGAUUUGGACGAAAGAUCAACAGAAAAGACAAUUAAUGCUGCAGCAACUUUCAGAAGAAGGAUGGAUCUGACUUUAACAACUGAUUUUUAAGUGUCGCCUUUCUCCAGUGCUGACUUGGGGAAUAGCCUACUAGCUGCUGCAUAACUCUAUAUCUUAAUCUUGGAAGCACAAUUGAAGGACACCCCUACCUUGGACUCUAUGCCAUUUUGGAAGCUACACUUGGAGGAUGCGCUUCUUUAGAAGGACCGACUUGAACUUUGGGAAACUUUGACUAUGUUGCACGAGUGGAAAUCAACUUUUGACAAGGUGCAACUAUGAAAUUAUGAGGAUGACAUUGUCAGGUUCAUUCGGAGCACAACGAGGCUUUCUGAAGUUAGGAGACGUGGAGUUCACCAUCUUUACUACCAGUGGAGGAUGUCUCAUUCUGAAAAAUCAGAGGUCUGCAGGUACUCCUAAGAUGUUAUCUGGCUGUGAACAUGACCAAGACGCCUGGAUUGCAGAAGGCUUCACCAGAGGGUGCCCGAUGGACCUAACAUCUUAAAUAGAGGCCGGGGGACAAGAUUGCAUGUUCAUAAGGUGAGGUAACCAUUGUAUGCAGGCUUGAACAUGUACAAGACCCCCGGAUGUUGCCGUACAGUUUGCAAGUGGAGU
rnacentral:lncRNA from 1 species